CCAUGAUGUGGAUGUCAUUCAAGCUGAACCAAACGUAAACAAAGAUGGCUCUCAUCUGUGCGUGAAGAUUAUUCGUCGUUCCGAAAAAUAGUUCCUUUUGCGUUCUCAACAACUAAUUCUAGCUAGGAUUCCAAAAAAGAUAGCCGAGAGCGAACGUUCAAAGGUGAAUCCAAAUCAGCUGAUGCCGGGGAAGUUGUGUGCUGCCGCACAACACUGAAGCGUGAAAUACUCCCUGGCUGCAAUGGAAUCUGACCGGCUGGUGCUGUAUCAAAUAUAUCUGAUCUUGUGAUUUCUUAAUGAUUUAAGUGUGGAAACCAAAAAACUCAAUAAAACGACGGAAAACAUGUUC